rnacentral:rRNA from 1 species
AAUCAACGCUGGCGGCGCGCUUAACACAUGCAAGUCGAGCGAGAAAGUGGAGCAAUCCAUGAGUACAGCGGCGUACGGGUGAGUAACACGUGGGUGAUCUACCUCUUAGUGGGGAAUAACCCUGGGAAACCGGGCGUAAUACCGCAUAAGCCUGAGAAGGGAAAGUGGCUUUGUGAAAGCAGAGCCGCGCUGAGAGAGGAGCCCGCGGCUGAUUAGCAGUUGGUGAGGUAACGGCCCACCAAGGCAUAGAUCGGUAGCCGGCCUGAGAGGGCACACGGCCACACUGGCACUGAAACACGGGCCAGACUCCUACGGGAGGCAGCAGUGGGAAUCUUGCACAAUGGGGGAAACCCUGAUGCAGCG